CAGCGCCACAAGUGGUGAUCCGUAUUAUUUGGCCUAAAGCGUCCGUAGCUGGUUAAGUAAAUCUCUUGUGAAAUUGUUUCGCUCAACGAAACAGCGUGCAGGAGAGACUGCUAAGCUAGGGACCGGGAGGAGUCAGAGGUAUGCCGGGGGGAGCGGUAAAAUGCUAUAAUCCCUAGUGGACCACCUAUGGCGAAGGCAUCUGACUAGAACGGGUCCGACAGUGAGGGACGAAAGCCAGGGGAGCAAACCGGAUUAGAUACCCGAGUAGUCC
rnacentral:rRNA from 1 species